UACAGAGGGUGCGAGCGUUGUUCGGAAUUAUUGGGCGUAAAGGCGCGUGAGGCGGUGCGGUAAGUCACCUGUGAAAUCUCCUGGCUCAACUGGGAGCUUGCCAGGCGAAACUGCCGUGCUGGAGUGUGGAGAGGUGGCGUGGAAUUCCGGUGUAGCGGUGAAAUGCGUAGAUAUCGGGAGGAACACCUGUGGCGAAAGCGGCGCACUGGACCACAACUGACGCUGAGGCGCGAAAGCUAGGGGAGCAAACAGG
rnacentral:rRNA from 1 species